rnacentral:rRNA from 1 species
CAAUAGCGUAUAUUAAAGUUGUUGCAGUUAAAAAGCUCGUAGUUGGACCUUGGACCUGGACAGGCGGUCCGCCUCACGGCGAGUACUGUCUUGCUGGGUCUUUCCUCUUGGUGAUCUGUUGUUUCGGCAGCAGGGAACCAGGACCUUUACUUUGAAAAAAUUAGAGUGUUCAAAGCAGGCUCGACGCCGGAAUAUAUUAGCAUGGAAUAAUAAAAUAGGACGUGCGGUUCUAUUUUGUUGGUUUUUGGAAUCGCCGUAAUGAUUAAUAGGGACAGUCGGGGGCAUUAGUACUCACAUGCUAGAGGUGAAAUUCUUGGAUUUUGUGAGGACUAACUUCUGCGAAAGCAUUUGCCAAGGAUGUUUUCAUUAA